rnacentral:rRNA from 1 species
GUGCCUAACACAUGCAAGUCGAACGAGAAAGUGGAGCAAUCCAUGAGUAAAGUGGCGACCGGGUGAGUAACACGUGACCAACCUGCCCUUGAGUGGGGGAUAACCUCGGGAAACCGGGGCUAAUACCGCAUAACAUCUUCGGAUCGGAAGAACUGAAGAUCAAAGGAGCAAUUCGCUUAAGGAGGGGGUCGCGGCUGAUUAGCUAGUUGGCGGGGUAACGGCCCACCAAGGCGAUGAUCGGUAGCCGGCCUGAGAGGGCGCACGGCCACACUGGAACUGAAACACGGUCCAG